rnacentral:rRNA from 1 species
UACGUAGGCAGCAAGCGUUGUUCGGAGUUACUGGGCGUAAAGAGUGCGUAGGCGGUCCUCUAAGUUUGGUGUGAAAUCUCCCGGCUCAACCGGGAGGGUGCGCCGAAAAACUGGAGGGCUCGAGUGUGGGAGAGGUAAGCGGAAUUCCUGGUGUAGCGGUGAAAUGCGUAGAUAUCAGGAGGAACACCUGUGGUGUAGACGGCUUACUGGACCAUUACUGACGCUGAGGCACGAAAGCGUGGGUAGCAAACAGG